UAGGGAAUCUUCGGCAAUGGACGAAAGUCUGACCGAGCAACGCCGCGUGAGUGAAGAAGGUUUUCGGAUCGUAAAACUCUGUUGUUAGAGAAGAACAAGGACGUUAGUAACUGAACGUCCCCUGACGGUAUCUAACCAGAAAGCAACGCCUAACUACGUGCCAGCAGCCGCGGUAAUACGUAGGUGGCAAGCGUUGUCCGGAUUUAUUGGGCGUAAAGCGAGCGCAGGCGGUUUCUUAAGUCUGAUGUGAAAGCCCCCGGCUCAACCGGGGAGGGUCAUUGGAAACUGGGAGACUUGAGUGCAGAAGAGGAGAGUGGAAUUCCAUGUGUAGCGGUGAAAUGCGUAGAUAUAUGGAGGAACACCAGUGGCGAAGGCGGCUCUCUGGUCUGUAACUGACGCUGAGGCUCGAAAGCGUGGGGAGCAAACAGG
rnacentral:rRNA from 1 species